ACGCUACGAACUCAAUUUUGACUGAGCCUUUUAUCAUAGGAAAAUCCGUUAACUUUAGAAAUCGUGAGGAUUCAAGUCCCUCUAUCCCCA
rnacentral:tRNA from 1 species